AAUAGCCUAACGGCUGAACCAGCAAUUAGGAGGAAUGUAUAGCGAUAGCUAGUUGUAUUAUGUAUAAUACAAUAUUGAUUUAGUCGAAUAAAAUUCUGAGUAAAUUUAGAUAAUGACUUAGUUUACUCACGUGUCUUGACCAAAAUGCGUGCCAGCAGUCGCGGUAAAACGUAUAAGACUAGUGUUAUUCAUCUUUAGCAGGUAUAAAGCGUAAUUAGACGGCAAAUCAAGCUGUAGUAAGUACUAAUUUGCUAGAGUUACUUGUAAAGGGGCUUGAAAGUACUGAUGGAGUAGAGAUAAAAUGCUAACAUACCUUUUUUCAAUAGAAAUAUUACGGCACUGGUAAAGGCGAAAGCAUCCCCUUAUGUGAUAACUGACGUUAAAGGACGAAGGCUUAGGAAAUCGAAUAGGAUUAGAUACCCUAGUAGUCUAAGCAGAAAAUGAUGAGUGUCAUAGACUGGUAUAAAUAUAAUUUAUAUAUUCAUAAAUAAACUAAGUGAAAAUAUUAGAAAUUAUAGAUUUAGUCCAUAAAUGAAAGUGUAAGCACUCCACCUUAAGACUAAUGUGGCAACACCCAAAUUGAAAUCAUUAGACCGUUUCUGAGACCAGUAGUGAAGUAUGUUGUUUAAUUUGAUGAUCCACAAAAAACCUUACCACAACUUGAAUAUUGUACUAUUUUAACAGGUUAUUAGUUUAUUUACAAGCGCUGCACGGCUGUCUUAAGUUGAUUUCCUGAGAAUUUGGUUAGAUCCAUUUAAUCGACGUAAACCCUCGUUUUAUUUUUAUAUAAAAUGGUUCACCACUAUAUUGGUUAAGAUAAUAGGGAAGAAGACAAGUCAUCAUGGCCUGAAUGUUGU
rnacentral:rRNA from 1 species